rnacentral:rRNA from 1 species
UCGACGGAAGGCCCUUCGGGGUACUCGAGUGGCGAACGGGUGAGUAACACGUGGGUGAUCUGCCCUGCACUUUGGGAUAAGCCUGGGAAACUGGGUCUAAUACCGAAUAUGACCGCGCACUUCCUGGUGUGUGGUGGAAAGCUUUUGCGGUGUGGGAUGGGCCCGCGGCCUAUCAGCUUGUUGGUGGGGUAAUGGCCUACCAAGGCGACGACGGGUAGCCGGCCUGAGAGGGUGACCGGCCACACUGGGACUGAGAUACGGCCCAGACUCCUACGGGAGGCAGCAGUGGGGAAUAUUGCACAAUGGGCGCAAGCCUGAUGCAGCGACGCCGCGUGAGGGAUGACGGCCUUCGGGUUGUAAACCUCUUUCAAUAGGGACGAAGCGCAAGUGACGGUACCUAUAGAAGAAGGACCGGCCAACUACGUGCCAGCAGCCGCGGUAAUACGUAGGGUCCGAGCGUUGUCCGGAAUUACUGGGCGUAAAGAGCUCGUAGGUGGUUUGUCGCGUUGUUCGUGAAAACUCACAGCUUAACUGUGGGCGUGCGGGCGAUACGGGCAGACUAGAGUACUGCAGGGGAGACUGGAAUUCCUGGUGUAGCGGUGGAAUGCGCAGAUAUCAGGAGGAACACCGGUGGCGAAGGCGGGUCUCUGGGCAGUAACUGACGCUGAGGAGCGAAAGCGUGGGGAGCGAACAGGAUUAGAUACCCUGGUAGUCCACGCCGUAAACGGUGGGUACUAGGUGUGGGUUUCCUUCCUUGGGAUCCGUGCCGUAGCUAACGCAUUAAGUACCCCGCCUGGGGAGUACGGCCGCAAGGCUAAACUCAAAGAAAUUGACGGGGCCCGCACAA